rnacentral:tRNA from 1 species
GGUCCCGUUGCCUAGAGGCCGAAGGCACUCAACUCAUAAUUGAAUACAGUUAAUGACACAUCGCUGGUUCGAAUCCAGCCGGGAUCACCA